UCUACCAUAAUCCCAUAGUAGGCUGUCAGUGUCAGUAUGGUUUUUGGGGGGCUGCCCCGAUGUACACAAGUGGGAUGAGUAGCCCCUUGGGUGAGUAAUGCUGUCCACUGACAUAUUUUGUCACUGACCACACACAUCAUAACUACAUCUAACUUUCAGUGAGGUGAAAAGUACAACGUCUCAAAAACAGUUCCAUUGUGUCAUGACAUUUACUGCCCAUCUUUGAGGUCUGACCCUAAAUUAUGUGAAACAAUACAGCUGUCUAUACAGCUGAGAUGAAAGGUGAGAAAGGUGUUUUUCAGAAGAAAACAGAUCUUUAUAUAUAUAUAACUCUCUAUAACUCUCUAUAUAUAAAACUCUCUAUAACUCUCUUUUUGGCAUGAAACACCCCCAUUCCACCUACUCCAUGGCUUUAGUGUUAAGUUUCUUGUUCUUCAGAAACGCCAGCAUCACAAAACCUAACCGGCUUCAGAAGAUGCGCUCGAUGGAGGUACAACAGUGGCUCCCAGAGUUGUGGUUUGACUACAGAUUUCACAGCAAGGCCAUGAAUCACCAAAACAUGCAUUACUAAAAAUGGACAAAGCUCUACACAACUUGCCUAGAAGUGGAUCUGCCAGACUGUUGCAAUGUAAGUAAAUCAUAAUCCUGAAUACCAAGAACAUGCAACAGGUCAUUGUUCACAGGCUGAGUGCAUUUUAUGGUUGACAUUUCCUUCUUGUAAACGCUGUUGUUUUGGGGUAGAAGGAAGUUUUCUAUUAUCAGAUUCAGUGUGUGGACUUUUACAGACAAUGGC
rnacentral:lncRNA from 1 species